rnacentral:lncRNA from 1 species
UCACAAGUCAUCCUUUGCAAACAGAAGCCUGGAGCCUCCAAUUCACAGAAAACCUCUGACCUCCUUACCCCCUGCUUCUACAGGGCCACCCUGGUUCAAAGCGCCAAGCUGCUGACAGCAACAUAAGUUGCCACUGGGAGUCCUGUGUCCCCAGAGGAACCAGAGGAGUUGAGUAGCAUCUAAUUAUUCAGUAUAGAUAUGGACGCUAACUUGGACUUAGUACAUGUAUUACAUGGACUCCCUCCAAAUCACCAUGCCAAGCCUCUGGAGGACAGAAGAAUAUAAAUUGUUUAACUCCUCUUAAUCUCAGUUUCCAUCUAUGUAUACAGGAAAUAAAAAUAAUUUGUACUCUGGUUCAAAUCCUGAUGCUCCCACAUACCAGCUGUGUGUCCUUGGGCAAGUCACUUCCCUCUCUCAGCUGCAUCUCUUUCUCUCAAGAUUCUGAGCAGCAAGUGAGAAGAUAUUAGCUACAAAAACACUUGCAAAAUGAGACACCAAGAGUUAUGUGAAGCUAAGAUCUUCGUGAAGAUGAAUUGCUUUGGAACCAACCAAAUUUGAGGUGAACAUUUGACAUGCUGCGGAGGUGGGGUGACCAUAACCAUCUUUUACAAGAUGAAAAUAUGAACUCAGAAAUAUGACACACCCUCUCAAAAUGGAACUGAUGUAGUUUGGUGUCAAAGACAUCAUUGCUUCAUAUGAAUAUUUAGAAGCUUGAUGUGUAAUAAUGGCUGCAAAACAACAAAAUGACAUGGAAAAUUUUCAAAAGAAUGAGUUAAAUAAUUUCCACUGAACAUGACUUGGACAGCUCCCUUCAUCAGCUAGAACGAAAGGAAGAUGUGGAAUAAUGUACAAACUUGACCCCUUUAGAUUGAUGUACAAGAAAUAAGGCAUCGCUUUCUAAACUUUCUCUCCCAAACAUCCACCCUUGUACUCUCAGACUUCAAAACUACACUCAAGGGACCUAGAUGUAACCAAUUCUUGAUUUGCCUGAUAGCACAACGAUGUAACAUCAUCUUCUUACUACAAAAAUGCAAAAUAAAAGAAAAUGACAGGCUUUCAAGCUUUUGUCUUACGACUUAUACGCACAAGUUCUACAUUUCAACAUUUUUAAAUGAU